rfam:Dipodomys ordii contig_58934, whole genome shotgun sequence.
GGUGGCUCAGUGGUAGAGCACUCGCCUUGUACGCCUGAGGCCCUGGGUUCGAUUCCUCAGCACCA